CACGGGGGGAGCAAGCGUUGUUCGGAAUCACUGGGCGUAAAGGGCGUGUAGGCGGUUCGGUAAGUGAGAUGUGAAAUCCUCCGGCUCACCCGGAGACCUGCAUCUCAAACUGCCGGACUAGAGUAUGGGAGAGGACAAGGGAAUUCCUGGUGUAGCGGUGAAAUGCGCAGAUAUCAGGAGGAACACCGGUGGCGAAGGCGGAUCUCUGGGCCUUACCUGACGCUCAGGUGCGAAAGCUAGGGGAGCGAACAGG
rnacentral:rRNA from 1 species